rnacentral:rRNA from 1 species
GAUGAACGCUGGCGGUAUGCUUAACACAUGCAAGUCGAACGGUACCUCCGGGAAUAGUGGCGGACGGGUGUGUAACGCGUGAGAAUCUAUCUUCAGGUCGGGGACAACAGUUAGAAAUGACUGCUAAUACCGGAUGUGCUGAAAGGUAAAAGAUUUAUUGCCUGAAAAGGAGCUCGCGUCAGAUUAGCUAGUAGGUGGUGGAAGAGGCUACCUAAGCUUGGAUCUGUAGCUGGUCUGAGAGAACGACCAGCCACACUGGAGCUGAGACACAGUCCAGAAUCCUACGGGAGGCGGGAGUGGGGGAUUCACCGAAAUGGGGGAAGGGAUGACGGCGCAAUGCCGCGAAAGGGACGAAGGCUGUUAAGACAUGAAGCUCUUUUAUCACGGAAGAUUCUGACGGUACUUGAGGAAUAAGCACCGGCUAACUCCGUG